AUUUUGUUAUACAUCUGUGUCAUCAUGAAAGGUAAGGGGUUGAUGUGAAAUUCAGAAAUUAACAGUAAACAUAAACACACAAAGUUUCAUGUUUUUAAUUGUAAAAGAAAACAAACAAAAAAAAAACAAUCCUACCCACUUAAUCUGUGUAUUCUUUUCAUUUUACAACUGUGUUUAUGACAACACAAUCCCAGCUGAAAACACAGAAGUUUAUGAUUAUGUGAUGAAAUGCUAACAAGAGAUAACUAUAUCAGCAAAUCACUGUACUUCAAAGCUUGGUUUUGGAGUUGCAUUUACUGCAUAAUGAUGAACAAAUGUUGUACAUGUUUCAGUGGGAGUAACACAGUUUGGAUCCCAGGACCGCGGCUGAGGUGCGGCAGGAAGUAUGAAAAACAUUCAGACUGGAAAGCUCCUGGAACUCCAAGAGGAUUUGACCUGACCACAGCUGAUGAGGCGGUGAUUAUUAGUGUGCCGUGGUGAUGGAAACGGAUCCUCGACUUCACAACAAAGCCCCUCAACCUCCUGUGGAAAUUACAGUCAUGAAGGUCAACAUACUACAGCCCUGCUGCAGAACUGUGGCUCGGUCUUAAAAGUGCAGCCACCAGCAGGAAUGAUGACACUCCUCUUUAUUAUUCACUUUACAGUAAAAAAGAAAAAAAAGGAAACACUGUAUCAUGCAGAGAGACUGCAGCUCGGACGAAUCCGGCUCAGGAGAUCCCCGUUGUGUCUGCUGAGGACCGCGGCUCAGACUGCAGAUGGGAUGAAACAUGGCACAGCUUUCCAAUUUUUAACAGGAUGUGACACUGCUGCGCUGCCUCCAUUCCACGCUCUUUGAAAAAAAAGCUCACGGUGUGAAAAAUCUGCGUGGAUGACUGGGGCAGUAAUGCAAAUCUACCUGACAUGCUUGUCACCAUCUGGGCCCAUUAAAGAGUAAAUAUUUUAGUCAGGAAUGAGAUGGAAUGUACCUAGCAUGAUUAAAAUCCUCAAAAUACA